rnacentral:rRNA from 1 species
CCUACGGGAGGCAGCAGUAGGGAAUCUUCCGCAAUGGACGAAAGUCUGACGGAGCAACGCCGCGUGAACGAUGAAGGCCUUCGGGUCGUAAAGUUCUGUUGUUAGGGAAGAACAAGUGCUAGUUAAAUAAGCUGGCACCUUGACGGUACCUAACCAGAAAGCCACGGCUAACUACGUGCCAGCAGCCGCGGUAAUACGUAGGUGGCAAGCGUUGUCCGGAAUUAUUGGGCGUAAAGCGCGCGCAGGCGGUUUCUUAAGUCUGAUGUGAAAGCCCCCGGCUCAACCGGGGAGGGUCAUUGGAAACUGGGAAACUUGAGUGCAGAAGAGGAAAGUGGAGUUCCAAGUGUAGCGGUGAGAUGCGUAGAGAUUUGGAGGAACACCAGUGGCGAAGGCGACUUCCUGGUCUGUAACCUGACGCUGAGGCGCGAAAGCGUGGGGAGCAAACAGGAUUAGGAUACCCUGGUAGUCCAGCUGUAAACGAUGAGUGCUAAGUGUUAGAGGGUUUCCGCCCUUUAGUGNUGAGUACGANAUANNCNCGCGUGGNGAGUGNGAGAGNGAAUANAAUUAGAUGNGNGNGNGNGNGCGAGNGCACGAGGAGAG